AGCGAACGCUGGCGGCAGGCCUAACACAUGCAAGUCGAACGAACUCUUCGGAGUUAGUGGCGGACGGGUGAGUAACACGUGGGAACGUGCCUUUAGGUUCGGAAUAACUCAGGGAAACUUGUGCUAAUACCGAAUGUGCCCUUCGGGGGAAAGAUUUAUCGCCUUUAGAGCGGCCCGCGUCUGAUUAGCUAGUUGGUGAGGUAAAGGCUCACCAAGGCGACGAUCAGUAGCUGGUCUGAGAUGAUGAUCAGCCACAUUGGGACUGAGACACGGCCCAAACUCCUACGGGAGGCAGCAGUGGGGAAUCUUGCGCAAUGGGCGAAAGCCUGACGCAGCCAUGCCGCGUGAAUGAUGAAGGUCUUAGGAUUGUAAAAUUCUUUCACCGGGGACGAUAAUGACGGUACCCGGAGAAGAAGCCCCGGCUAACUUCGUG
rnacentral:rRNA from 1 species